UGACGACCGGCGCACGGGUGCGUAACGCGUAUAGAACCUACCUUUUACUGAGGGAUAGCCUUUAGAAAUGAAGAUUAAUAUCUCAUAGUAUUGAGAAGUGGCAUCACUUUUUAAUUAAAGAUUUAUUGGUAAAAGAUGGCUAUGCGUCCUAUUAGCUAGAUGGUAAGGUAACGGCUUACCAUGGCGACGAUAGGUAGGGGUCCUGAGAGGGAGAUCCCCCACACUGGUACUGAGACACGGACCAGACUCC
rnacentral:rRNA from 1 species